rnacentral:rRNA from 1 species
CUGCAGCUCGAGUGGUGAUCAUUAUUAUUGGGCCUAAAACGUUCGUAGCCUGUCUUAUAAAUGCCUGGGUAAAUCGUGCCGCUUAACGGUACGAAUUCCGGGUAGACUGUAAGACUUGAGACCGGGUGAGGCUAGAGGUACUCCUGGGGUAGAGGUGAAAUUCUGUAAUCCUAGGGGGACCACCAGUGGCGAAGGCGUCUAGCUAGAACGGGUCUGACGGUGAGGAACGAAGCCCUGGGGCGCAAACCGGAUUAGAGACCCGAGUAGUCC